AAGCACCUGGGAGUUUCUCGAUCGUCGAAUUGAAGAUAUGGAAAAAUUACGUGGUUGUUCCAAAAUGUGUGAAGAAACUUCACUCGUCAUGAAAGGGUUGCUCAAAACGGCGAGAAAUGUGAUGGGCGGUUGAAGCGAUGCAUUAACUUGAUACAUUGUGUUAAGUUUGAUAGUGUUUUCUUAGAAACCAAUACAAUAUAAGACUUUGCGGUACCGGAAAUU